rnacentral:lncRNA from 1 species
GCCAUCUUGAUCGGAAGUCUCUCUGAAAUCACUUUUAAAGACUGAUAUAUAUUAAUUUAAGGUCACCAAGGAAUUCACUUAUGAAAUUCCUAAAUGAAACACUCAAGUCAGAAUGGAGUUUUAUGGCACUUUUAUUUCAAUGGGAGUAAGAAAGAAGGAGAGAGAGAGAAGGAAAGAAGGGGACAAGGAAAGAGAUUAACUCAACCUUCUGGCAGAGCCAGAGGGAGUUCAGGCCUUAGAAGGCCAAGGCAGAGAAGGGAACCAGUCCUUGACUCAUGUGACCGAUCUGAAGGAAAGCUGCCUGUGGGUCUCCUCCCUGCUCAAGCUCCUAGAACGAACUGGUGCCUAUCCCUGUCCAUAGGAAGUGAAUGAAUUCACGAACUGGUGCCUAGCCCUGUCCACAGGAAGUGAGUGAACUCCAGAGGCUGUUCUCUACCUCGCUUCCUGCGCCUUACAUGUGCCAAUGGUGGCUCAAGCUUGGCUUUGGACAGUCCAGGUUCAAUAGGCUAUUUCUGGAUCACCACCUAUUCAAAUCCACAGCUGUGAGGCCACACGCCAUGCCUUUCCCAGAAUGACCCAGAUGACAUACGAAUGAAAACAAAAAGACACUGAAUGAAACAGGAUAGCAAGAGCAAUCCAGUAAGAUGUCACCAGCAACAGCAGAAAUCCACUUGCUCUGUACCAGCAGCAGUAGAAACAGGAAGAAGAUCAGGACAGUCAGAGAGAGAGGGAAGCAAUGGCUAUCUGGAUCCACCCAGAAAAACCAGACAGCUACCUUCCUGGUUUAUCCUGACAGCUAGAGGAAAAACAGGCUCUCACUCCUCCAAAGUCCACCAACUGCCCACAACUCUUCUGUGUUUCAGAAGUUCCUCACCUCCUGAGAGCUUUGGAAUGUUUGCCCUAUCAUUGCCCUGCAGGAUCUUUUUACUUCUUGCUUUUUGCAAAGCUAAUUCUUUACAACAAAAUGGAUAACUAGCAUUUCUGCAACUAUUUUAUGUUCUAAUGAAGUUUAAAUGUUAGACUUUCAGUCCAUUGCAACCAU